AUGAACGCUGGCGGCGUGCUUAACACAUGCAAGUCGAACGAAGCACCUCUAAUCGAAGAUUGAGAAAGCUUGCUUUGAUUGAUUCACCUUGAGGUGACUGAGUGGCGGACGGGCGAGUAACGCGUGGGUAACCUACCCUAUACAGGGGGAUAACAGUUGGAAACGACUGCUAAUACCGCAUAAGCGCACAGGACCGCAUGGUCUAGUGUGAAAAACUCCGGUGGUAUAGGAUGGACCCGCGUCUGAUUAGCUAGUUGGUGAGGUAACGGCUCACCAAGGCGACGAUCAGUAGCCGACCUGAGAGGGUGACCGGCCACAUUGGGACUGAGACACGGCCCAAACUCCUACGGGAGGCAGCAGUGGGGAAUAUUGCACAAUGGGCGAAAGCCUGAUGCCAGCGACGCCGCGUGAACGAAGAAGUAUUUCGGUAUGUAAAGUUCUAUCAGCAGGGAAGAAAAAUGACGGUACCUGACUAAGAAGCUCCGGCUAAAUACGUGCCAGCAGCCGC
rnacentral:rRNA from 1 species